AGCGGGGUGGAGCAGCUCGGUAGCUCGUCAGGCUCAUAACCUGAAGGUCGUAGGUUCAAAUCCUACCCCCGCAA
rnacentral:tRNA from 1 species